AUUGAACGCUGGCGGCAGGCCUAACACAUGCAAGUCGAGCGGAUGAAGGGAGCUUGCUCCUGGAUUCAGCGGCGGAAGGGUGAGUAAUGCCUAGGAAUCUGCCUGGUAGUGGGGGAUAACGUCCGGAAACGGGCGCUAAUACCGCCUACGUCCUGAGGGAGAAGGUGGGGGAUCUUCGGACCUCACGCUCUCAGAUGAGCCUAGGUCGGAGUAGCUAGUUGGUGGGGUAAAGGCCUACCAAGGCGACGAUCCGUAACUGGUCUGAGAGGAUGAUCAGUCACACUGGAACUGAGACACGGUCCAGACUCCUACGGGAGGCAGCAGUGGGGAAUAUUGGACAGUGGGCGAAAGCCUGAUCCAGUCAGGCCGCGUGUGUGAAGAAGGUCUUCGGAUUGUAAAGCACUUUAAGUUGGUAGGAAGGGCAGUAAGUUAAUACCUUGCUGUUUUGACGUUACCAACAGAAUAAGCACCGGCUAACUUCGUG
rnacentral:rRNA from 1 species